AUAAGAUGAGAGUUUGAUCCUGGCUCAGGACGAACGCUGGCGGCAUGCCUAAUACAUGCAAGUCGAACGAGCUUCCGUUGAAUGACGUGCUUGCACUGAUUUCAACAAUGAAGCGAGUGGCGAACUGGUGAGUAACACGUGGGGAAUCUGCCCAGAAGCAGGGGAUAACACUUGGAAACAGGUGCUAAUACCGUAUAACAACAAAAUCCGCAUGGAUCUUGUUUGAAAGGUGGCUUCGGCUAUCACUUCUGGAUGAUCCCGCGGCGUAUUAGUUAGUUGGUGAGGUAAAGGCCCACCAAGACGAUGAUACGUAGCCGACCUGAGAGGGUAAUCGGCCACAUUGGGACUGAGACACGGCCCAAACUCC
rnacentral:rRNA from 2 species